rnacentral:rRNA from 1 species
UACGUAGGGCGCAAGCGUUAUCCGGAAUUAUUGGGCGUAAAGAGCUCGUAGGCGGUUUGUCGCGUCUGCUGUGAAAACUGGAGGCUCAACCUCCAGCCUGCAGUGGGUACGGGCAGACUAGAGUGCGGUAGGGGAGAUUGGAAUUCCUGGUGUAGCGGUGAAAUGCGCAGAUAUCAGGAGGAACACCGAUGGCGAAGGCAGGUCUCUGGGCCGAUACUGACGCUGAGGAGCGAAAGCGUGGGGAGCAAACGGG